rnacentral:rRNA from 1 species
UAUAUAUGACCCGAUUAGCAGCUUCCGGAAACCAAAGUUUUUCGUUUCCGGGGGAAGUAUGGUUGCAAAGCUGAAACUUAAAGGAAUUGACGGAAGGGCACCACCAGGAGUGGAGCCUGCGGCUUAAUUUGACUCAACACGGGAAAACUCACCCGGCCCGGACACCGUAAGGAUUGACAGACUGAGAGCUCUUUCUUAAUUCGGUGGGUGGUGGUGCAUGGCCGUUCUUAGUUGGUGGAGCGAUUUGUCUGGUUAAUUCCGAUAACGAACGAGACUCUGGCCUAUUAAAUAGACGAUAUAUUUAAAAGUAUAUCGCGCUUCUUAGAGGGACAAGCGGCGUCUAGCCGCAUGAAAUAGAGCAAUAACAGGUCUGUGAUGCCCUUAGAUGUCCGGGGCUGCACGCGCGCUACACUGAAAGAAUCAGUGUGCGUUACGCCUAGUUCGGAAGAACCGGGUAACCCAAGUAAAUUCUUUCGUGCUUGGGAUAGGGAAUUGCAAUUAUUUCCCUUAAACGAGGAAUUCCCAGUAAAUGCGGGUCAUAAGCUCGCGUUG